CCCUUAGAUGUCCUGGGCCGCACGCGCGUUACACUGAUGCAUUCAACGAGCCUAUAACCUUGGCCGAGAGGCCUGGGCAAUCUUGUUAACGUGCAUCGUGAUAGGGGUAGAUUAUUGAAAUUAUUAAUCUUGAACGAGGAAUUCCUAGUAAACGCAGAUCAUCAAUCUGCAUUGAUUACGUCCCUGCCCUUUGUACACACCGCCCGUCGCACCUACCGAUUGGAUGGUCCGGUGAAGCCUCGGGAUUGUGGUUCUUGCCGCUUUAUUGUGGCGUGACCGCGAGAACUUGUCUAAACCUUAUCAUCUAGAGGAAGGUGAAGUCGUAACA
rnacentral:rRNA from 1 species